rnacentral:lncRNA from 1 species
AUGAACAAAAGGAAAGAAGAGAGGCACCUGAUAUAUUUCCUCUAAACCUUUUAGAAAACCUGGAGUUGUCCCUUUGCCCAUAUAUAUGUGUAUCUGUAAAGAAAGGUGAUAUUGUAGACAUUAAGGGAAUGGGUACUGUUCAAGAAGGAAUGCCCACAGAUGUUACCAUGGCAAAACUGGAGCAGUCUAUAAUGUUACCCACAUGCUGUUGGUAUUGUUGUAAACAAGGUAAGGGCAAGAUUCUUAAGACAAUUAAUGUGUGUUAUGUAUAGAGUAUACUGAGCACUCUUAAGAGCCAGGACAGCUUCCUGAAAUUCGUGAAGGAAAAUGAUUGGAAAAAAGGAGGAAGCCAGAGAAAGGUGUCUGGGUUCCACUAAACGCCAGCCUGCUCUACCCAGAGAAGCGCACUUUGUGAGAACCAAUGGAAAGGAGCCUGGGCUGCUGGAACCUAGUCCCUAUGAAUUUAUGGAAUAA